rnacentral:rRNA from 1 species
UACCUGGUUGAUCCUGCCAGCAGUCAUACGCUUGCUUCAAGGAUUAAGCCAUGCAAGUGCUGAGUAAAUGGUUAACAGUUGAUCUGCGAACGGCUCAUUAUACCAGUCGUAAUCUGCCCGGAUAAGUGGCUCAGCCAUCGAGUGGAUACCUCCACCAACCGUGAAGCUAAUACAUGGACGACAGAUUGGUACUCCGUCCAAGCAGCAAGGGGAAACCUGAGUUGUGGAGUAUCGAUGCUACUGGUCGGGAACAGAAACUAACCCGUUUCAUCGCGGAGUCUUCGUGGAAACAGACCACUGAGCGCAAGGAUUCCUUCGAGGAAACCGUGUCUGGUUGAACGACUGACCUAUCAGCUUGACUGUAGUGUAGUGGACUACAGUGGCCUUUACGGGUAACAGAGGAUCAGGGUUCGACUCUGGAGAGGGAGCCUGAGAAACGGCUACCAUGUCUAAGGACAGCAGCAGGCGCGCAAAUUGCCCAAUGCUAACACGCGCGAGGCAGCGACGAGAAGUAUUUACUGCGUUUACACUUUGUUGUGACGUAGAUAGAAAUGGAUGGCAUCCAAAACCACCACUGAGGAUCGAUCGGAGGGCAAGUCUGGUGCCAGCAGCCGCGGUAAUUCCAGCUCCGAGAGCGUAUACUGAUGCUGUUGCCGUUAAAACGCUCGUAGUUCGAUUAGAAGAAGCUUUGGUUUGUGAGUCAGUGUGUAUCGUCCGCGGUCACAUUCGAUGCAAGCUGUGUGGGUUUCUUCUGCUUUGGUGACUCGUGGUUGAAGUCUCAUUAACUUGAGAUGGAGAUUGCUACGCGGGUACCAUUGUCGAUACCGAAAACAAAACAGCGUGUUCAAAGCAGUCUAGCGACCGAAUGAUUCAGUUUGGGAUAUCAGAGGAUGGAGCGUUCAAGCUAUCUUUGUUGGUUUCUCAGUUUGGAUCGCGGAAUUGAUUGAACGCUUGUCCUGCGUGUCCUAUCUACUUGAGGUGGGUUCAGGCUUUCCAACAUGGUGUUAGGCUCGUAUGGAAACGUUCAGUCCUUCUGAAUUAACAGAGGCGACGGGGACUGUAUCUAUUGGAAGGCGAGGGGUGAAAUCCUUAGACCCUUCCAAGAGAAACGACAGCGAAGGCAUUCAGUAAUGGCGCCUUCAUUAAUCAAGAACGAGAGUGCAGGGAUCGAAGAUGAUCAGAUACCGUCGUAGUCUGCUACUGUAAACGAUGCGAACUCGGGACCGGAUUGGGUAUUCAUUCACAUGACAUUUCCGGGACCUCACUUCCUCUCCUUCGGGAAACCAUUAAGUGUCUGCGUUCGGGGGGAAGUGCGGUCGCAAGGCUGAAACUUAAAGGAUUUGACGGGACGACACCACAAGGCGUGGAUGCUGCGGCUUAAUUUGACUCAACGCGGGGAACCUUACCAGGUCAGGACGCGCGGCGGAUUGACAGAUUAAAAGCUCUUUCUUGAUUGCGUGUAUGGUGGUGCAUGGCCGCUCCUAGUUCGUAGGGUGACCCGUCUGGUUAACUCCGAUAACGAACGAGAUCCCGACCUCUCAUUGUCUGCAGGAUCGCUUUGUAGGUUCGACCUUGACUCUCGAGUCCUUGGGAAGGCUGAGAUGGCUGUAGAAAAGUCAGAGGGACGGCGCAUGUCGACAAUGCGCGGAAGGGCGGGCCAAUAGCAGGUCUGUGAUGCUCCUAGAUGUCCUGGGCUGCACGCGGCAUACAAUGAUCGUGGUAACAAGCUUGGUUUGUUUGAGCUCCUUACAAGACAUUGUUGGGGAACCUUUUCAAUCACGAUCGUAGUUGGGAUAGAUGCUUGCAACUAUUUGCCUUGAACCAGGAAUGCCUUGUAGGCGCACUUCAGCAAGGUGCACCGAAUACGUCCCUGCCGUUUGUACACACCGCCCGUCGCUGCAACCGAUUGGUUGACUAAUAGAACGGUUCUGGAGAGGCACCGUAUCAAUCCUUCUGGAAUGUUCGGAGUAUCGAAAUUCUGUGAUAUCUGUCAACUAGAGGAUGCAGAAGUCGUAACAAGGUUGCUGUAGGUGAACCUGCAGAAGGAUCAA